GCCUUCGUGGUGUAAUGGUCAGCGCAUUGAGCCGGUAUUUCCGUGGUUCGAUCCCCGGCGAGGGCA
rnacentral:tRNA from 1 species